CCCUUAGAUGUCCUGGGCCGCACGCGCGCUACACUGAACGGAUCAGCGCGUUUUCCCUUCCCGAGAGGGACGGGUAACCUGCUGAACCCCGUUCGUGGUAGGGAUCGGGGCUUGCAAUUAUUCCCCGUGAACCAGGAAUGCCCAGUAAGUGCAAGUCAUAAGCUUGCGUUGAUUACGUCCCUGCCCUUUGUACACACCGCCCGUCGCUACUACCGAUUGAACGUUUUAGUGAGGUACUCGGACUGAGCCACAGAAGAUUCACGUCUUUUGUGCUGCUCGGGAAGAUUCCCAAACUUGAGCGUUUAGAGGAAGUAAAAGUCGUANCA
rnacentral:rRNA from 1 species